GAUCCUGGCUCAGGAUAAACGCUAGCGGCAGGCCUAAUACAUGCAAGUCGAACGGUGUCUUCGGACAUAGUGGCGCACGGGUGCGUAACACGUAUGCAACCUACCUUACAUUGGGGGAUAGCCUUUCGAAAGGGAGAUUAAUACCGCAUAAGACAGUAACUAGGCAUCUAGUAGCUGUUAAAGAUUUAUCGAUGUAAGCUGGGCAUGCGACCAAUUAGCUUGUUGGUGAGGUAACGGCUCACCAAGGCUAUGAUUGGUAGGGGAACUGAGAGGUCAAUCCCCCACACUGGCACUGAGAUACGGGCCAGACUCCUACGGGAGGCAGCAGUAGGGAAUAUUGGGCAAUGGACGCAAGUCUGACCCAGCCAUGCCGCGUGCAGGAUGAAGGCGUUAUGCGUUGUAAACUGCUUUUAUACAGGAAGAAACGACUCUUGCGAGAGGCAUUGACGGUACUGUAUGAAUAAGCACCGGCUAACUCCGUGCCAGCAGCCGCGGUAAUACGGAGGGUGCAAGCGUUGUCCGGAUUUAUUGGGUUUAAAGGGUGCGCAGGUGGUUUAUUAAGUCAGUGGUGAAAGACGGUCGCUCAACGAUUGCAGUGCCAUUGAAACUGGUAGACUUGAGUAAAGUAGAGGUGGGCGGAAUUGAUAGUGUAGCGGUGAAAUGCAUAGAUAUUAUCAAGAACUCCAAUUGCGUAGGCAGCUCACUUGGCUUUUACUGACACUCAUGCACGAAAGUGUGGGUAUCAAACAGGAUUAGAUACCCUGGUAGUCCACACUGUAAACGAUGAUAACUAGGUGUCGGCCGAAUCUGGUCGGUGCCACAGCGAAAGCGUUAAGUUAUCCACCUGGGGAGUACGCCGGCAACGGUGAAACUCAAAGGAAUUGACGGGGGUCCGCACAAGCGGUGGAGCAUGUGG
rnacentral:rRNA from 1 species